AGGAGCCGUGUAAGGCGAAAGUCUUACGCACGGUUGUGAACCAGAGGUGUCCCGUGGCAACAUGGGCAUCGACUCUAAU
rnacentral:ncRNA from 1 species